UACGUAGGGUGCAAGCGUUGUCCGGAAUUAUUGGGCGUAAAGAGCUCGUAGGCGGUCAGUCGCGUCUGCUGUGAAAACUCGGGGCUUAACUCCGGGCCUGCAGUGGGUACGGGCAGACUAGAGUGUGGUAGGGGAGACUGGAAUUCCUGGUGUAGCGGUGGAAUGCGCAGAUAUCAGGAGGAACACCGAUGGCGAAGGCAGGUCUCUGGGCCAUUACUGACACUGAGAAGCGAAAGCAUGGGGAGCGAACAGG
rnacentral:rRNA from 1 species